CUCCCCCAAAACUCUCUAAAAUCUCAUAACAAACUCUCAACUCAAUCUUAUUUCUAUUUUCAAAUCUUAAUCUAUUAAAUAACAACAUAAGCCACUUAAUAAAUCACAUAAUCAAAUAAAUAUAUUUUAAACUCUUCUUAAUAAAUUUUAGACUCAAUUAAAUAAUUAAAUAAAUCAAAUAAUUCAAAGAGGGCGUUACAACUCCACCCCCCUUAAAAGAAUUUCGUCCUCGAAAUUCAAAGCACACAAGAAAGGAAUUCAAUUAUUGCCUAAACAUCUUAAACCAAACAUAGCCAAAUAGAAACUUCAAACAAAACAUGUAAGCCACAUCAAAGUUAGUCAAUCAAACAUGAUCACAUAAUAAACAUAACCAUUAGUCAGAAAACACAACAACAAUCAAGACAACAUAAGACAGUAUUUCAACUGUCACACGACUUGACACGACUCAACUACUUGGCCGGACGGACCGACCUGCUCUGAUACCAAUUGUAACACCCCGUUUUCCCAACAUAAAAAUUUCGCAUAAAUAAUCAGAGUUUUUCAACAUAAACGGAAUGUCACAUUCUUUUCUUAAAAUCAUAAACUGAAUAAAUAACUAUUUAUCCUUUAAAAUUCAAAUACAAGAUCUUUAAUACUUCGCAGCGGAAUUUAUUUCAAUAACUAAAACAGUCUUUGGCACGAAGGCCUCUUCAUAAAUGUCGCAUAAAAAUCCAAUCUAAAAACAUAGUCAUAAAUCUUCAAAAACAAUACGUAAGGAAUAGAAAAGCAAUAACAAAGUUCCCAUCCCGUUACGUAUCAGAGCACCUAAGACACACGAGAAGGAAAGCUCACACGACAUCAACUAUUCUUGGUUACCUGUUAGUUACCCAUGGUGGGCAAACAGAAGGGGUGAGAUUUCACAAACAAUAAUAUUAAGCAUAUAAUUCAUCAAUUACAUUUAACAACAUAAGCAUCAUCAAUCAUAUUUAACAACUCAUAGACAACAUCAUGUAAUCAUCAUAAUAUUCAUCAUAGAUAAUAAUAUAUCAUAAUUCACUUCUUUAAUAGUUCAUAUAAAGAAUCACAGCUUUAAACAAUUUCAUGAUUUAACAACUUAACAACUCGACAACUUGAUAACUUGACAACUUGACAACUUAACCUCUUGACUAUGCAACUUAAUCUUCUAAUCAUGCAUGUGGUACCAAUCUUUGAGCGUAAAUAGGCUCCCAGGGCAUCAAGCCCUCAACUUUAUUUGAGCGUAAAAAGGCUCCCAGGGCAUCAAGCCCUCAACUUAAUUGAGCAAAGGCUCCAGGGCAUCAAGCCCCCAACAAUGAAAUGCUAAUGCAUGGACUCGACCUCUUAAUAUCUUAAAUCGACAACCUCUUAUAUAAUCCAAUAAUUUGGAACUUCAUCAUCUUAAUCAACUUAGACCGACUCAUGCAGCUUAGUUAAAUAACAACAGCAACACAACAGUAUACAAAAACAGCAUGACAUAAUAAUAUCAAAUGCAAGUCAACAACGUCUCAAUUAUUCACAUAUAAUUCAAGUAAUGCAUAUACAAUUAUAUCACAAUAUAACAACAUCAAAUAAUAAUCAACAUCUUAAAACAUCAUAUAUACAUAUAACACUUCAUCAAUCAUGGACAAUAUCGUAUUCACAACAUAUACAUUCAUAUACUAAUUCAUCAAUCAUAUUCAAUUAUUCACUGUGACCUACGUGCAGUAAUUUGACUAUAACUCAAGUUCUAUAAAUCCUUUUGAAGUCAAACCAACGGCAUUAGAAAGCUAACAUUUAUACCUACAACUUUCGUGUUUACACCUAAGACCAAUUCUGUACCAAUCAAUACCAGUUUUCAUUUCAAAUUCGGACAAAGUUGUGCUGAAAUUCAUAAAAAUUCACUGUGACCUACGUGCAGUAAUUUGACCAUAACUCAUAAACCAAAAAUCAUUUUCAAGUCAAACCGACGCCACUGUAAAGCUAACACAAUUAUCUACAACUUUCAUGUUUACACCAAAGGCUAAUUCAAAACAGAAACGUGUGAAAAAGACGCAAGAACAUGAAACAGGACAUGCUGUCAGAGAGCAACUCGGGAAAAACACACUUUUCACCCCAAAAUCCCAAUUUUAACUUCCCUAUGCCCAAAUUUGAUCCCAAAGUUUGUCUAAACAUUUAUAUACAUCAAAAGAGACUCAAAACCAUAUAAAACUUGACCCAAAACAUUAUUUUAGAAAAUCAUCAAAUAAUCACUUUUAACCCUAAUUCCCAAAUUCUCAAAAACUAAAACCUACAACAUGUUAAAUCCAAUUUUCAGAAUCAAUGACUUAAGAUUAUUGAAUGUUAGUCCCACCCUUACCUUAUAGAUGAAAAUCGCAGCACUCCUAGGUCUUCCCCCUCCUCUCGGCUUUUUCUCCCUUUUCUCCAAAAUUGAUCGUACGUUAUGUUUUUUCUAAAC
rnacentral:lncRNA from 1 species